rnacentral:lncRNA from 1 species
GUAUGUCCAUGUUUCUUUAUGCCUCAAGUGUCAGUGCAGCUGAGUAUCUGGAAGAUCUCACUUGCACAUAUAGCUAUGCUUUGUGAACUUCUAAAAGUAGAGAAUGCCUCUUCCUAUACAUUUUGUACUGAACUUGGCCACUGAAACUCCAGAAUUGGAUAGGACAUAUAGGAGCAGCUGUAAUAAAAAUUACAGCACAAAAAGCCCAGCACAGAUACUUGAACAGUCACCAAUACUGGAAUAUGAUUGUUGCUUUCAGCACUAGGAAUCCUCCACCACCAGGAUUUUUCAGCCAGUAAGUACAUUGCAGAUAGGAAGCAGCAUGAAGCCCACAUGAAGAGAUCUACAUAAUUAGUGCUAGCUCAGGUCUCUUACAAGGAAUUCCCAAAAUACAGCUCAGAAGAGAACCAGCCCAAUUAUCUUGCUACUAUGUGUGCUUUGAGGAGAAUAGUAGAAGAUGCAGAUUAUGUUUGGUAGAGUUUAUUCUACUAAGUAUAAUGUUACUAAAAGCUGUAUUGGUCCAGCUCACAACAGAAGUAACAGUUGCCUUCAGCAUCCAAAAGUUGGGCCAAUCAACUGAACAUGGGUGAAAAGAAGCAGCUUGUGUUCCUCACUGUUAUGCUUCAUAAAUUGUUUGAUGUCCCUGUGCCUUUAAUUCAGCUGUAAAAUGAAUUAAUACUGCUCUGUCUAGAACACAUUAGGAUUUGCAAAUGAAAGAACACUGAUAGAUGAUAUUUAUGUUUUAUUUUUCUUAGAAUUGGCAUUGCCAUUAUCAGUACUGAAUGCCUAAAAUAAUCUGUGCAGCAGGCAAAACUACUGUUGUCAACUAAAAGUAGUCUGUCACCGCUGGGCUGGGUGUCAUGCAAAUACAUGUCUCUGUCUAGGAGGAAGCUAGAUCUCUCCCUUUGUGUUUGAAUUACUUCACAGUGGGGCUCGAUUGGUUGCUGUUCCUGAUGAAUGUGAAGAUCUCUUACUCUUCUGCUUCCUGAAAAGUAGCAAAAUCAGUACAGCCCAGGAGGGCCCUAGGAACUGUGAUUCAUUUCAUGUAGUCUCCGUCAGUAUGCAGCAUUAUCAACACCCAAGUAUUAAAUAACUGAGUCUCAAGAAGUAAGGAAAUUGGCUUAAAAAAAAAACUCAUGAUCUGUAAGACCAUCUAUAGAAGAUUACUUUCCCACUUUAUGUUGAUGAACAUUGCAAGCAAGUUGUACUUGCAUUGCAGGCAAGGUUUUCAUCUGGGUUUUCAUUUCUUAUUUUUACAUCCAGAGCUUAAUUGCUGUUAGAAGAAAGCUGACAAUGUGACACUUUCACUUGAUGCUCAGAACUAGCACUUUAAGUGGCUGCUGCUGGGGUUUAUUGAAAAUAUCUACUACUCUCUGGAGUGCACUGUGUUUGGGAGAAAAAUGGGUUAGGAAAAUAAAUCGCAUUUAGCAAAGAAUCAGUAGGGUAAUUUUAUGGUAGCAUAACUACCACACUGUGAAAUUACUGCUAAAUAAUUUGAUCAUCUAUCUAAUGUCUAAGAAUUUUACAACGUAAUGAUUAUGUUUUGAAAGCAGAUGCUAUUGUAACUGCCUAUGUAGCCGUAGUGUCCUACUGUAUUGUAUAUACAGUAUGUGUUAUACAGCAUGUAUUAUUGCUGUAUUUUAAAGUUCCUUGUGACUCACAGUGCUGCUUAUUGCCACAGGUUGUAGUGCAUUCAUUGGCAAAAAAAGAAUGAAGGAAAAUUAGCAAGAUUCCUAAGAAUUAGUUCAAAUUCCAACACAGUAUCUUUGUGCAAGAGCAAACAGAGCAGUAGAGCCUAUAUUUAGUUGUUUCUAAGAAAUAGCCAUUCUUUGAUCUCACAGCCACAGGCAUAACAAUGUAACUUCUACUUCUGACUAUUACUUCCGGGAAUAUCUCAGGAAAACGCUACCCGUAAGUAAUGGGUUGGGGUAUGAAACAAAGCUGAAGAAAACUCCAGCCCAGGAAUGAGCAGGUGGCUUCAGUGUUGAUGUCCCUAAAUCAAGUACAGCUACUCUCUAUUUACACUGUUCAUUUUCUCCAAGCUUGGACAGUCUUUUUAUGCAAUGGUUAGCACUGGUCCACAGUAGUGGUUUCCACAGUCACUGGAAUAUUUGCAAAAAUAACACAAGAUGAAACUAUGAAUAUCCAAAUGGUUGUGCUGGGCUACUGAUUCCUCCUGCCUUUAGAUAAAGCAUGGGAAGUAACUGAUGUUGCACGAUGUGACGCUGUUGUAGGGAGCAUCAAUCAAGUAGCACUGAUGAUGCACAAGAAAGUGCACAGUAAAUCUAAUAUUGCAGUGAGUUUUAAAUUUGGAUCCAGUCUUUCCAUCCUCAUUAUUUAGUUGAUUGGACAGGUAACUGCUCACAUGAUCCAGACCGAUCGCUGGUUGCAUAAAGACUUCUGCAGGUUUGGAACUUUAUUGGCUUCCAGGGAGUUGUUAAUUCACAAAUUUUAUUCAAAACCGAACAAGCAUCCUUAGGAUUCACUAAUACACCCCCAUCAGAACAGAUACCUUACCAAUUUGUGGCAGGUUCUGCAUGGCUUUUUGCAAUAAACCAGGCUACAAAAUCCCCAGACUGUCCCCUGGGAGGAAGCCGCAGUGAUGAAAAACAGACACAUCCUCCUGUGCACUGCAGAACCUACAGAGGACAAAGCUGGUAUAAUCUGUGAAGCACAGCUGCUCAACGGGCAGAUGUGAAGUAAUGCUGCUAUCAAAAAAACACAACCUACUGUCUUAUCAUUGGAAUCUUAGGGCAAAGAAGUGCUGUACAUCAAUACGUUCUUGGUGGCGCUGUCCUCUUUUAAACUGCGUUGAUAUUUGCUAUCAGUGAAGACUGUAUACCCUCGACUGGACAGCUAAGUGUGUAUUUGCUCCCUGAGUACUUUACUCCCUUGGUGUAAUAGCUGACACUGACAGAUACUUCCUUCAAUUUGGAAGGCAAAGGUGAGCAUGGCACAGCCUAAUUCCUGUGACGCAAUGUGCAUUCAUCGGCAGUGACUAUUAUAGCACAGAUAAACUACUGGAUGCCCCUGCUGAGGACAGUACAUGCUCUGUGCAGCAUGAUUGCACUCUGCUCUGACUUCUUCCUGUGUCACGAUGCCCACUGUCACCACAGUAAAAUGGCACUUCAUCAUUCCUCCCCACGCUGUUGUGUACCUACAGCCGGAGAUUCCUGAGUCUGCCUCCCUUCUUCAGGGCUAUCUCCAGCUAAGCUCCUGCAGGUCAGCAGUGGCUCAGUGCACUUCCAGAUCUGUGUAGCUGGCUAUUGCCUUGAAGAUUUUAAUUUACUUCCUCACUUACCCUUUAUGAUGCUGUUGGGAUUCUGUAUGAGUCCUGCACUUGACCCCAGUACAGGGAGCUAUGAAGCUGGUAAAGUACAUGCAUUUUUUAAAAAUCAGUUUAUAUUCUCUUCUAAUCAGCAGCAAAAGCAGCUGUCACAAAAUGCAGGUGAUAACCAUGCCAUCUCAAAGCUUACAAGGUUUAGUUACUUCACAGGAAAUGUAGGCCUAAUGAAUAUAAAAGGUAGAAAUCAAAUGGAAAAUGAAAAAGAAAUACACAGUAAUUGAGAGGCAUUCAUCUCGAUCAACAUGCCAGGAGAGCACUCUUGGAAAAUAGAAAGAAAUCUAGUCCACUUUCUUUCUAGGGCAGAAAGUCUUUUAUUGAAAAUUAUUCUUGUCACGAGUGUGUACGGGAAGUGUAGUAGGAUGUUUGAGAACAUUUUAUACUACCUUCCCCAGGGGGAAUUUAAUUAUUUUUCUUCUUCUUUUUUUUUUUACACUUUUGUGGCAGUUUGAGGCCUGAGCAAAGUGUGAUUUUGACAGCUUUGGGGACAGAAAUGUUCUAAUUAUUUGGGAAGCAGGUACAGUAUAAGAGGGUGCUACACACUGUCCCUCAGAUUGCCUGUCUGAUAUGAUUUGUUACUGUCAAAUAUCCUAAAUGAUGUAAGGAGGAGCAUAUCGUUUAGUCUCCAAAAACCUCUCUGCCUAAUUAGAGCAGUGUUUGUUUUUCUAAUAUGGGAACUGAGCAGAGAUCAUAAAAUCAUGUAACAGGCCUCCAAGUACUCAGAAAGGACGAACAAAUUCUCUCUCAUUUAAAUUGGUAUGACUGGGCAAAUGGGCAUCUCUAGAUUCCACUACCAAAUAUUUAAACCAGCAUUUUUCACAGGUUUUUUUUUAAUCAGAUAAUUCAUUAAUUCAGUAUCAUUACUGAAUGUGGAAAAAAAAAGGAAGAAAUUGCAACCCUCAUUGUCUUCAUAAAAAGGAACUGACAUUUAUGGGCUGUAAAAGUGACAAAUUAUGUUGUAUUUCCUGAGAGGCUGAAAAGUAUCCUUGACCUUGAAAAAUAAGUUCUCAGGAGCAGAGAAGCCAGGUUGCCUUUGCUUUAUAUUGUGCAAAAUUUUCACUGAGGUGCCAUCAUCUGACCAUGUUUCAUGACUACUCUGUGUGUCACAACCCACUCACUCAGAAAUACUGCCGUGAUCCAUCCCUGUAACCAUAAUGAUGAACGGUGUAACAGCUGGCUAAUUUCAGUACUGGUGAUUUACAGUCACCAGCAAUAUUUCCCAAAUGACAAUAUGACAGCAAACUGGAAUAAUAUUCCUUCCUUCCAAGAGCCAUAGUUGUCUCUAAUUACCUGGGUGUUUGAGGUCUAAGCAAGCUCUUGGAUGUUUUAAUUGGGACGUACCAGAAACUGAGAAGAUCAGCCAUACCUUUAAAAAUGAGAUUGCUCAAAAGGACAAAAAAAAAGAAGUGAAAUAAGUCACAGCACCACAACACGUGGCUAGGUAAAUGCCUUGUCUGAAUACACAGCACGUACUCCUGUCAGUUCAAAGACAAAAUGAAAACCACUGAAGUACUUUUGUGGAGUUUCUUAUUUACUGAAAUCAUUAUUACACAUUUGGUCAAUAGGGCAUCAAACAAUUAAAGCUGUGCAAUGUACAAGGUUAUGUAAUUUUACCAGGGAAACGUAGCCCUAUUUUGUAUAAAAUAAAGAAAAAAAGUGUCUAACUGGAAACAUAAAGUCAAUCUGCUACCUUGUCUGAAGCGUAACGUCCGCUUAGCUAGAAAUAUGCAAACUAUUGACCAGAAGGACUGCCUCUAAAGAAGAGGGGAUGGGUAAGGCAGGUAGUUUGCUGAAGUUGAGGCGGGUGGGCUCAGACAGAAUCCCUGCCCCUGGACUUCUGGACCUGCUGUGCUCUCUGGGGAAGCGUCCUGUCUUGGCUGAGAGGAGGGGCUUUUUAUGCUUCAGUGUAAAGCACACCACCAGUGUCCUGAUUAGCACAGGCUAAAUAAUUUCCUGUACCUAAUCAAACUGUGAAAUUUGAACUUAGAAUGCAGAUGAAUUGAAGUCUGCACUUCAAAUCGGCCAACCCAGCAUGUUCUGAAGUCUGACCAGCCAUACCUAUACUAAGGAGUCAUUAAAUAUGUUAUGUAGCCUGUUUGAAUAAUAAACCUUAUUCCUGUACAUCUCACCUGAACGUUUACCUCAUAUGAAGUAAAUUGUUCAAACCAUCUGUCAAGCCCAAACACUCCUUAAAGACUGUCGUUUGCCAUGUGUUUGCAUCCUAGAAGAAGCAUUAGAGGAGCAACUGAGUUAAGAUGGCUUGAAUCUGACUAGCAAUCACUUACCUCAAAGUGAUAAAAAAUAGCCAUGUCUUGGAAGGGCUACAGACUGUCCUUUGAUAUCUCCUUUAGUAAACGCAAUAGGCCAAAUUAAGUACUGCUGCAAAAGUGCGGUCACUUUUGGUAAAAGUGCUAACUCCUGCAGCCUCAGCAUUCCGUUUGAAGGCAGCCUAAGGGGUCCAAGAAACAGGGGUAACGAGGAGAAACAACCCACUCCGAAGCCAUAAAAGAUUUCAAGGAACAGGAAAAUCUUCACACUAUAUUGUCACUACAAGACUAAAAACGUACUAAGCAAUCAAGUGUUAAGUAAAAUCCUGAAGGCCAAAAGAUGCAAGCCAUGAAACUUCAGCACACCGUUAUUCAACAAAGCGCUCGAGUUUUUCAUUGAGACUUGUGUGUGGACUUAACUGUUAGAGCUUACAACGCCUUGCAGGUAGCAGCAAAAGCUUAAAAUAAUGUUUUGCCCCACCGCCUAGCAGUGAGAUAGAAAGCACUGCUAUGCAACGCAAUGGUGGGAGAGUUUGGAAAUUGUUCCAGUGAGGAUGUCAGAGAAGUUGUUGAGAAAGAAUGGCUGAUGAAGAGCUGCCAAGCUGGAAUAUGAAAUAGCUUUUUAUAUUCCUUAGAAAGGUAACUGCUGCCUAACGCAUUGACCUUGGGCUGGAUUCCAGGUGUGAAAGGGUUUUGCUACGUCUUCUUCUCAACAUAAAGAGAAGUGACAGACGCAGAGGUAGCCAGGGAGCUGAGCAUGCACACAAGGGCAGUAGCUAUGACCUUGCCAUCUUUUGUGAAGAGGAGAAGACCCCAGCUAUGCAGGAAGGGCUGCUGGUCUUUGGUACUUAAUACACGGGUUAGAUGGAGCCCAGUGAUACCCCCAAAGCUGCUUUUCUUCCACUCUCAGGCAUUUGAGUUGGCAAGCUCAGCCUUUUUUACUUGUUGCAUUAAAAAUAAGCAAUCAAACUAUCUUAUCAACUUUUCCCUGUGAUCUUAUUCCUCGUGGUCUCCACUGAAUCAGACAUCAAUAAGGUGAGUUUUGCUCAGACUAGAAAGAGAUUUGUCUGCAAGCGCAGUUUAUGAUAAUUAGGGGAAAAACAAGUUGGACAGGAUGCUGAAGAGAAAAUUGAGGCCUGGUAAUACGUGCAAACAGGGAGAGCUGUUGUUGUUUUUCAUCUUAGUGUUUUGUUUUUCAGCAGCAGAAGCUGUUGCGUUUCGCUUCCUCCAAGCAGGAGCUAAUAAUGAGCUACCAAUAACGAUCUACCGUGUGGACUAAUAAGGAGGCUGUCUUGCUAUUUUGUCAAAGCAUUUUUUUUUUCCUGAAAAAAGACCCUUGCAUAUAAUGAAGUGCUGUAAGUGGAAUGCUGCUUGGUGUCUGGGGUGCUUGGUUGCUCCUCCUUUUUCUAAGACAGGUAGAAAAGUAUGCUGGAAUUGUAAAAAUGAGUGAUCAUUUUACAGUAGAAGCGAAAAACCUGACAUCGAUGUGCAAGCAAGAUACACUAAGUUAUACACUAAGUCUGGAAUGCUUUUCCCUUGAGUCCUCUCUAUCCUGGGAGAAGUGCUAUAUCAAGGCAAUCUCCAUUCACGCUUGUACUGCUGGACCAUCACAAAGCAGCUGAAGCAAACUGGCAAAACUCCCUUCAGAGGUUGUCGACCACAUGGCUGCACAGGACCCUGCAAUGCUGUGCUUAAAAAAGCAAUCAAAUUCAAGUCAGCUUGCUUGUUGUGGGUAUUUUCUGGGAACUGUUUAUUACCAUGCCACAUCUGCUGACCAAUUUUUGCAUAAUAAAC